rnacentral:lncRNA from 1 species
AAUGGCCGCAGCUCUCGCCUGUGAUGCUUAGGGAGUCGAUGUCGAAGUCCAACCCCAUCGUGCUGAAAUGGCCUCGGUGGAACUCCUUUAUGGGGGUCACAAGCAUUUUUGGGGGAAGGCUGCCGUCAGCCUUCGUUGCCUUUUCAUGUUCUAUAGCUAUUGCUAGAUGUGAUCAUUGCCAGUUCUUCUCGAUGUUUUCUACUCAAGCUAGCAUGGUGGCCAUCUGAUCUCCCAUCCUCUUGAUCUCCACGACCAGCU